ACGCCUACACAUGCAAGUCGAACGAAGUAGCAAUACUUAGUGGCAGACGGGUGAGUAACAUGUAGGUAUCUGCCCUUUGGCCUGGAAUAACACGAGGAAACUUGUGCUAAUACCGGAUAAGUCUUUACGGAGAAAGCUUUAUGCACCAUUGGAUGAGCCUGCACUUGAUUAGUUUGUUGGUGGGGUAAUGGCCUACCAAGACUGUGAUCAAUAGCUGAUUUGAGAGGAUGAUCAGCCACAUUGGGACUGAGACACGGCCCAAACUCCUACGGGAGGCAGCAGUGGGGAAUCUUGCACAAUGGAGGAAACUCUGAUGCAGCGAUGCCGCGUGAGUGAAGAAGGCCCUUGGGUUGUAAAGCUCUUUCGUCGGGGAAGAAAAUGACUGUACCCGAAUAAGAAGGUCCGGCUAACU
rnacentral:rRNA from 1 species